CUAGCAGGAUUUUUACAAGCUUGAAAUAAACCCCAACGCAAGUGAAGUUCUCUUUGGUGCCUCCUACCAAACUGCUCGUACCUGCUCCCUAAGCGCCCGAACAGCUAUUUUCCCUGCAAGCCCCUUUGCGGGAGCAAAUGCCACACCAAGAUCCAAACUGGAGCGGAGCAUCGCAUCCCUGCAAACCAUGGCGGGGGGCGGGUUGGAACAUAAAAUAAAACCAGCUGGCUGCUCCUAUCCACCUCCCCCAAAAUCCCGCACCACCCUAAUGGUCGGAUAGAAGCCCAAAUUUCAUCCCAGUGCAUUUCCCCGGCUGCUUUCAGUGGGCUUCACAUGAUGAAACCAAUGCCAUGGGGAAUGCAUCUCCCACUGCCACCGUGGGCACACGCUUCCAACAUACCAGAGCUUUGCUCCUGAAGCAACGCCGGGCGACUUCUGGAAGAGCAAGUAUUUAUUUUAUAGAAGAUAAUUAAUUUUUGUAGAAGACGCUGUGCUUGUGAGAGGCAUGGAAGGCUACCAAAUAAGUUCUGCACAUGGAAGACCUGGAGAAGCAGCUUCAAAGCCAGAAGAAAUGUUUCAGAAAUGGUUGGGUUUUGUGCACAGGACUGAGAAGCAUCCUGCAGGAAGGUUGCCUCGAAAUGCCUGAGGUUGCACCUGGGCAUCAUGCACAUAUCCUUGGUCAUGGUGACUUCUGGAUCAUAUGUUUUCUGGAUCGAAUGAUGAUUCACAAGCAUUAAGAGGCUUCAUCUGGACACAGUUGUACAUAUCACA